GUCAGCUGACACAUCCCUGCCAAUCUCAGGCAGACCCUCCCUCCCAGACCCUUCCACCUCCUGGACAGCAUCCAUGUUGAAGCUGCCUUCAACAUGGAUGCUGUCCAGGAAGUAGGAGGGUCUGGGAGGGAGGGUCUGCCGGAGAUUGGCAGGGAUGUGUCAGCUG